UUAAAGUCAUUACAUGAUUUUGACUCUGUUGUGACCGAGGAAGUGCUCGGCCACGUCUGGGAGCGCUACAGCAUCCCGAGCGACUAUAAGCUUUAUGCGCCUCAGCCAGGGCAGCGUGCUUAUGAUCCGUUCCCGAAUGGGUUCGGCUUGACGCUGGAUGCUUUAGAGGUGGGACUUUGGUUCCCCCUACAUCCUGUGAUCGAGGCCUGCCUUGCUCGAUGGUGGAUCUCGCCAUUGCAGAUGGCACCGAACUCGUGGCACUAUCUUGUAGCUUUCCUAGGGGAGUGUCGAGGGGCGGGGGUUAUCCCGACCCGCUCACUCUUCUUCUCGUGCUUCCGCCUUUCCAAAGGGCUAGGCGACUACUGGCUGUCAUCCGGAGGAGGUUUUCGGGUGAGUGGGGCUCCUUCCAACAAUAAGAGGUGGAAGAGUCGAUAUUUUUUUAUCAGCUAUAGUCGAGGCUGGGGCUUCGACCUUCGAUGGUCAUCUCGAUCGAUCGAUAAUUCUCUUCUGGGCUUAUCUAAUGAUGAGCAUGAGCAGCUCGGUCGCUUGAAGGAGGUCCUUUCUUCUUCCCGGACAAUUAGGGACAUAAUCGAGGAGUGACUGAUCGAAACGGGGCUUACUCUGACUCCUCGGGGUUUGGUGAAUUUGAAGGAGUUGAGAGGGAUGCCUCGUGCUUCCUCAGCCCCUCGGGCUUCGGAGCCGGAACUGCCGGCCUCGGGGGGUCAGGAGUGACCUUCCGGGUUGGGGCCUGAACAGCCAUGCAAGAAGUCUAAGGUCUUGACCCGCAAGAGACCUGCGCCGACCGCAACGCAGGAGGCAUCUGGCGAGGCCGGGAAGCGUCUUCGCGAGGCUUCUUCGAGCAGAGCGGCCGGAGGGAGUGCUUGGGGCAAAGCCCGUGCCGAUCCUAGGGGGGGGGGAAUCGACGAGAUCUGCGUGGACUUGAGAUCUCUGUGGCACUCGGGCACGGGCCAACGUCGAGCCCUUCCAAUCGCUCUUCAUGGGGGACUUGUCUGACGGGGAGGGAACUGCUCCCCUUGAGCCGUGCUGGUCGGGGCUGACGCUCGACGAUCGGAUUUGGGCGGGCGAUGCUUCCUAUGGUGCUUAUCUCUGAGGUGCCCUUAUCCCGGCAAUCGCAAAGCAUGUGUAUAACUCGCCUUCCGAGGUGCUGAUUGAUAAGUCAGCCAAGUCCUUGGUAUAGGAAAACACAAUCACCUCACAAAGACGAGCUGCCAACUAUCUGAGAAUCGCCAUCUAGUGCACGAAGGAGAGCAGCCAAUCGGUUCGGAUCCUGACCAACACCAACCCGCACUCCUUCCCGAGGGUAUGGCUACCUCACGAAGACGAGCUGCCAACCACCCCGGAGAAGGAGAGACGCAGCUCGGCAUACACGGUGCCCGGAUCGACACACCAAAGAACGCUGAUCAACACCCCAUCGUGAGGGCCCGAUCAACCUCGGCAUCCAGCUCAGCCGAUAGAAGAUUUCCGACAUCGAUCUAUGGACCAACCCGUGCUGACUCACCAGCCACGACACAUUUGUUCACUAACACAUAGCCAACAUUAUCACACCACGUUGCUUGACCAGGUGUAGGGCGCAGGUCAGGUGAUUAGCAAUAUGGGUGACAAGAUUGCUGAGCUCCGUGGUCCGAUUGAGGAGCUGAAGAAAGGGAUUGCCCCGAAGGCUAUUGUUGCGGCUAAGGUCGCAGCUUGAGGAUGUCGAAUGACAACACGACGAAGUCAAGGGCAAGCUUGAGUAACAUCUUCCGGAGGCUCAACGUUUGUUGAAGAAGUCGCACAGGCAGGUUUGCUCUAUGGAGGGUGAGCUAUUGGACCUAGCAUGGACCUUGGGGGAGGCUCGAGCAGAGGCGGCGAAAGUCAGGGGGUCUCUCGCCAAGGAGACCCGAGCAACUCUAGAGAAGCAUAAGAAACUAAUAGAAUAAUAUAAAGAAUCGCAUGGCUUUCUACUCGGGCUGUAGCGGUUAGGAUAGGUCAGCUAUGAGUACGGGUAACAUGUUGCCCUAGCUCGGUUUCGAGCUUAAUUUCUUGACGUGAGGGUUGAGGAAGACCCUUUCGUCAUCCUCCCUACAAAUGACAAUGUAGAGAUGCCGGAUGAGGUCCCCUUUGAUAAUAGUGUAGGUCUCCCCGAGGAUUAAGGAUCUUCUCGGGGUGUAUUUUUGUUUUGUUAAUCGGUUUGUCAAGUGCUCGGGUAUCUGUGUUCCGAGGUCGGCCUCGAGUUUUCUGAACCCCCCUCGUGCGGCAAAUUAGCGCCUUCUACUUGGGGUUGCUGAGCGGCUGAGGAUGGUGCUUAUGGUUCGGGAGCGAGGGUCGGUGGGUCCCGCGACUAAAGCGGUGGUUGGAACAGCGCUGGUUGCUGCAUGAACUAGGGAAUGAGGUGAAUGAUAGCCUGCAUCAUCCUUGCUAAGGUUUAGACUUGGUGCGUGAGGUUGUGGAAGGCCUUGGGCGAGAUAGGAGGUCGUCCCAUGGCGGUUCCGGGAGGUGUCAGCCUGGGAUCGCUGAACAGCCGCUAGCAGCGGCUCGGAGUUCCAGUAGUGGCAUUCCCUUCCAGGCUCGGAGGGGGUGGAAAUUGUCCCCAUAUUCUGAAGGUCGAGUAAGGCGGGGGUGGCUCUUCUUCGGAACGUUCUCCAAGGUGACUCUAUUGGGGGCGUCCUUGCGACAUCGAGCCCUCCUUCUAGCGUCAAAAUGUUAGUGAACUUUACACCAUGGCCAGGGAGUCAGCACGGCUUGGUUCGACUCCAAAUGUCCAAGGAGGCACCCACGAAGACUUUGGGCUGGUCGUUGGGUCGGGUUGAGCGGAGUAGGUCAUCGUUUGCUUCCUUGUCGUCGGGCCCUACACACAGGUCGAAGUCGGGGGGAUGUUUCCUGACUCGAUCGCUCUGAAGGUUAAGUUAGUGGAGUUCUCACUCAGAGUCCUCUCCCAAGUUGUUCAGGAAAAAAACCUCUCUUGGCAUAGCCAGGUAGUUGGCUUUUAUACCUGCAUAUGAGAGUUGAUUGUAUAGGGUUUGUUUAAUGACUACCGACCCCUGCAGGCCGCUAGCUCAUACCUUCUGUGCGGUCGAUGUCUACAUCGAGGCGGUUUUGUACUUGACGGCAUCGUCCCAAGUUCCCGGGAUGGGCUUUGUACUUGACGAUGUUGUCCUGAGUUUUCGGGGUCAGCUUUUGUACUUGACAGCA